rnacentral:rRNA from 1 species
GACGAACGCUGGCGGCGUGCUUAACACAUGCAAGUUGAACGGGCAUACAUGGAAGCUUGCUGAAGUGUAUGUUAGUAGCGGACGGGUGAGUAAUGCAUGAGGACCUGCCUGCCGGAGGGGGACAACAGUUGGAAACGGCUGCUAAUACCCCGUACGCCGAGAGGUGAAAGGAAUGGAGACAUUCCGCCGGGAGAGGGACUCAUGUCCUAUCAGCUAGUUGGUGGGGUAACGGCUCACCAAGGCGACGACGGGUAGCCGGCCUGAGAGGGCGACCGGCCACACUGGAACUGAGAGACGGUCCAGACUCCUACGGGAGGCAGCAGUGGGGAAUAUUGGGCAAUGGGGGCAACCCUGACCCAGCGACGCCGCGUGAGGGAAGAAGGCCUUCGGGUCGUAAACUUCUUUUGUACGUGAAGAAGCAGGUGACGGUAGCGUACGAAUAAGUCCCGGCUAACUACGUGCCAGCCGCCGCCGUAA